rnacentral:lncRNA from 1 species
GCAGCAUAAAGAUUAAAGAGACUGACUCAAUAGUAGACUAACUCAAUUAAGAUCAAAACAAAAACAAAUUGUUCUUCUUCUCCCCCUUUGGGGCAUCAUCAAUAAGGAGGGGUACGAUACGAAGUACGAGGAGGUGCGGUAGAGGGAUCGAAAGGUGAAGGAGGAACAAGGUGCGCCAAGAAACCUUCCAAUUGAGCAUCAAUCUCAGCUAAUUUCUCAGUGUAUUGCUAAUUGAAAACAUUUUGUUGCUCAUUUAAAUUUUCAUAGAAAUUCCCAAGCCUAUCAAUAUACUUUCCAUGCUUCUUUUGGGUUUGAAUGAUUUGCUCUUGGUGUUGCUCGAUCAGCACCCUUGAUUCAUUCAAUUUUCCAAAAUACUCAGAGGAACCAUGUCAGUGGUCCUCCUUAAGAUGAAGUCCCUUCAUGCGAUGGAAGCCCUCCAUGCAUAGGAAACUCCUCAUUCAUUGUAUGCUCUUCAUGCAUUCUUUCCUUGCCUUGCCAUUCAAGUUGGAGAAUUUGAGCAUUUGGAUCCACAGGUGGAGGAACUUCAAUGUUUUCUUCUACCUCCAUACAUUCCCAACUACUAGCUUCUACCCCUUCGUCUUCCCCAUCAGUGGAGUCAAUGCUUAUACCCCUUUUAAUUAUGGUUAUCGAAAACCCCUUUCUUAUAAACUGAUUGCGUUGCCCACUAAAUUUUAUUCUAAAGUGACUAAAAACCUUAGUCAGAAGAGCACCAUAGGGAAGGGGUCGACUGUUAUGAUUUUUU